UGAUUCUGGUUUCUCUUCAUGACACAUAAGUCUUUCGCCUUUUACUAAAGACUUCCGUGGAGAGAAACACCAGUGAGUGAAAGAUAUUUUUGGUAGGUUUUGCCAUGUGGCUGAGCC